rnacentral:rRNA from 1 species
AGUGAACGCUGGCGGUAGGCCUAACACAUGCAAGUCGAACGGCAGCACAGUAAGAGCUUGCUCUUACGGGUGGCGAGUGGCGGACGGGUGAGGAAUACAUCGGAAUCUACUUUUUCGUGGGGGAUAACGUAGGGAAACUUACGCUAAUACCACAUACGACCUACGGGUGAAAGCAGGGGAUCUUCGGACCUUGCGCGAUUGAAUGAGCCGAUGUCGGAUUAGCUAGUUGGCGGGGUAAAGGCCCACCAAGGCGACGAUCCGUAGCUGGUCUGAGAGGAUGAUCAGCCACACUGGAACUGAGACACGGUCCAGACUCCUACGGGAGGCAGCAGUGGGGAAUAUUGGACAAUGGGCGCAAGCCUGAUCCAGCCAUACCGCGUGUGUGAAGAAGGCCUUCGGGUUGUAAAGCACUUUUGUCGGGAAAGAAAAGCAGCAGGUUAAUACCCCGCUGUUUUGACGGUACCCAAAGAAUAAGCACCGGCUAACUUCGUG